AGGGCGUCUGGAAUCCGCCCUUGAGGGGGGGGCUCUGUAACGUUUCUGGCACUGGGGCUGCUAAUUGCAAUCAACGCACCUGCGCUGCCUCCACCUCUACCGGCUUAUAAGCCCUGCGCCUCGCAGCCUCCAGUGCCAGAACGUCUCGAGCCAACCGGUGAGAACUUCCAGCAAUUAUUAUCAAACUGCCUGCCUGUCUGUUGCCCGACCUGUCUUUGCCUUCAUCUCUGAGCCAGCCUAGCCCUCUCCUGGAUUCUGUCUGCCCGCCUGAGCCCUGCUGUGUCAGCCUCUGGACCCCGGAUUGCCCUCCUGUGUUUUUGACCCCGCUAGCCCGUGAGUACUGGAACCUGCCUGUCCCUUAAUCAAUCUGUGCUCUCUGGAAACUGGAUCUUGGAACUGGACUCGGACCCUUCUUUGGAUUUCCCCUUGGAUUUGUCGCCUGGACGUAUUGGCCUUCCCCGUGACCGAACUCAGACUGCCCCUGGACGACGCCCCCCGGAUUUCCCUGUCGCUCGGCUUCCGACACGCUUUGGAGCAAGGACUCCUAAAGAAGUCAUCUCCCCAUCAGGAGUUGUCGGCCCGUAAGCACGAGCAGCACGUCCCGAAAGCCUCCGCUUCCCUGUUUUUUCAAUAAAAUCGGCUCAAGAGCCA